AUGUUCAUUUGCAGCAAGGGCUCCAGAAGAACUAUGGCUAACAUAAUGAUGAUUUCCAGCAGGACCUGUAGAAGGGUUCUGCAUAUACUUCAUAAAGGACAAACCAGGCAUUGGUUGACCCAUUUGGGAUGUCUUCUGUUUUUUAUGGGAGCCUGAAACACUGGGACUGUGUACAACAUCAUGAACUGGUUGUGAUGCACUGCUCCUAGCAGUUUGGUGGCCACCUGCCUGUCUCC
rnacentral:misc_RNA from 1 species